rnacentral:lncRNA from 1 species
GAUAGUCUUGGGCCGACUUGGGCUACUUGGAAAGCCACGGGAGUAGGUUGGGCUAUGAGAGUGGGUUGCUCGACGGGAGCAGGCUGGGCCACGGGAGUUGGCUGGGUCACGAGAGCAGGCUGCUCAGCAGGAGCAGGCUGAUUGGUAUGUGAUGCAUGCGAAUACGAGGCUUGGGCCCAUGCAAACUUGGAUGGCACAGCUUGGGCCAUGGUGGAACCUCGUAGUGGUGGUAGCAUUCCGCCUAUGACCACAUUUAGUCUCGUGGAUCGUCGCAGUCCCAUUUCUAGAGUAUUAGAAUUUUCCCUUGUGGAAUUUUCUAAAUUUCUAGCCAUUAUAUUUUUCUUAUACAUUUUAUCAAAGAACCUUUGCAAAUAAAAAAUUCUAAUAAUAAGAACGUAUGAAAAAUAUUCUAAUGGACUAGAAAAUAAAGAAAAACCUUUUUUAUGCGAGAGUCUUCUACGAGUGUGGAUUUCUGCUCUCAAUGAAAGCACCAAUUUGUGGAUGCAAAUUUCUUCCUCCUUGAUUUUGGACAAUUUUGCACCUACAAAACAAUUAACACCUUAGGUUAAGGCCAAGAGCCUCGCGCGCCCACGAUGAAUAUGGGGCUUUGGCUGAAGAACCUUUGAUGCCAAAGUUAGAAUUUAGAGAGAAAGAGUGUUUAGAGAAUUUUGGGAUUUUUGCCAAAGUGUUGGAAUGGCUUUUUGGUGAAAAUGGGAGACUAUAUAUAGGGGUAGGAGGUGGCCGGCCUAGCUAGGGUUUUUAGGUUUAAUUUAGGUUUAAUUAGCCAAUUUAUUAUGAUUAAUUGUCUAAUUAAACAUAAAAUGAAUGUUUUGGUGGUUUAUGGGAUUAAUUGGCUAGUUAAUUAGGGUAAUUAAAAAGGGAAAAUGGUGGAAAAGGUGGAGAAUAAGAUGGAUUAAUUUUUUUAUGGGAUUGGCCGGACCCUAGCAUGAUUUUGGGAUGAUUUGUUUGCCAAUUAGGGGAUUAAUUAGGCAAUUAAUCUCUUAAUUGGUUAAUUAUUAUGGUUUUAAAAAAGGGUUUUUUGAAAUAUGGAAUAAGUAUAUUUAUUUAGCUAAUUGAUUAGCUAAAUAAUGAAAUAGGAAAUAUAUGAAUAAAUUAGAUUUUAAGUUGAUACCUAUUUUGGGCACUUUUGACUUGGUUGAGGGAUAAUUGAUUGCUGCUUGCGCAUAGGAAUCCCGGUAUGCCCUAAGGGUAGUUUUGUGUUCUUUUGUCAAAAAUCCAUGUGUCGCCUUGUGAUUAUUUUUGGCUCCACAAUGCUUUUUUCCUAUCUUUUCUUUUGCCCUUGCUCUUGCCUGCAAGACAAGGCAAAAGAGAGCAAUCAGUCGAUACCUGAAAUCAAACUUUUGGUAUGGCAUUGAUUGCUUAGAACCUUGCAUUACUCUCGAGUAUUCAUCUUCAAUUGUUGUUAGAGCUGAGUAUCAAAUCACCAAUGACUCAGAACAUUUGGUACGAAGUUGGCUCUUUACACUGAAACUACCAAGCAUAAAUGAGUCACCGUGAAGUGAUGUUUUGAAUGAUCAUUCAAAGGCAAAGGUUGUGCACCACUCUGUAUGCAGGAGGCUGAAGAUAAAGGAUCAACGAUGAACCCAUAGAAGUUCAAAGGGAGAAAAUGAGUAGAUGACUAAGUGAAUGGAAGACCAAAGUUUAAUGAUGGGAAUCCUACUCGUAGCUCAGCAAACUCUACUUGAAGAUAUAACAACCAAGGACAAGAACGACUUCAACUGGCAUUAUGUCUCAUCAAUUUAUAUCAUUCACAUGAUGUACAAAAAAGUAAUCCACAUUUUGAAAAUUACUAAUUAAUUACGAGUUACAAAGAUGCCACAUCGGUUGAAGUCUCAAUGAGAUAAUCCGUAGAAUUAGCACUACUAAACUGUUGCAUGCCCGAAGCAUGAUAGUCGCCGCAUGGAUUUAAGUCCUAAAAGGAUAAUCUAUAGACAUGGCAAUAUUACUGUGUACUGUGUCUUCUGCUUAAAGCAUGAUAGAUGUAUAGGUUCCAAUGAUCCAACUCUCCAGAAGUGGAGAUUAAAAAUUCAAGCUCUAUAACGCUUUAGAGGAUGUUAUGAUCCAAAAUCUCCAAACAAUUCAUCUAAUAAGAGAUGAAUGUCCUGGAAGAGAUAAUGUAAAGCCCCUGAAAAGGCAAGGAUAUCCAAAGUAUUGAAAUGCUUAUAAAAUAUCCAUAUGUAUGUACAUGAGAAUUGUGGAUCACGAAUUGAUGAUAACCAAUAUUAAUUUGGGUCUUAUAGUAGCUACUAAAUUCAUCAACGAGUUGUGUUGAUAUUGAGUCACGUUCCUUUGUUUGUCAAUGAAAAAAAAAUUAUUGGCUAAAAUGGAGAGAGGCAAUUCCAUUACAAUUUAGUAAGAACAUGGAGAAACAGACCUAUAGUACAAAACGCCAAAUGAUGUUGAACCCAAAAGGACACAUGUGGCCAUUUAUAAUACAAUGAAAUACACUCACAUGAUAUGACACAAGGUUACUAAUUGAAACCUAAAAUUAUGAUACUCUUGUAAAAAAGUUCAUAUGAAUGGAGAAAUAUAUAUGAAGGGUUGUGAGAUGCCCACAACAUAUCUCCAUAAGUAAUUUCCUUAAGUAUACAUAGAAGCAAAUUGCUCUAUAUAUAUUCCAAAGGAGAAUGCGUCAUCAAGUGUAGAAAAUUCCUGAAUGAUGUAAAUUGCUUGAAGAAAGCCUUGGAAAGGUAAAGCACAAAUUAUGUACUCUAUACCAGUGGAUGGUAUGAAUUGCCUUAGUGAGUACUUUCAUUUUAAUAUUGUUGCAACAUAAUAAAUUUCUUGCAAGAGUUGACAUUAGAUUGAAACUCCCGAAGAAUGUAGAAAAAUGAUGAAGUGUUGAAAGAAAUAUUGUCUCGAGCUGCAGACAGUGUGUAAAAUAUCAAUAUCGGUGGAAAUAUCAAUAUGCAAAUUUGCGGAAAUAUUGAUGGAUAUAUCCGAUAUCAAUAUCGAUAUAGGUUGCCUUAGAUAGAAAUGAUGGACAUUUGCUUAAAAACAUGGAAAUAUGAAAUUAUUGUUUAGGGAAUAUUAUAUGAAGGCACAACACACGUAUGAAUCAAGAAUUAAUGAUUAGAUACUGUGUAAAAAAUAAGUAUGUGACAUGUGAGAAGGAAAACUUCUUCCUAAUGACAAAUGAUAAAAUAAAACAUUUCACUAGAACAAAUAAAAUGCACAUCACCAAUGUUUAAAAUAUUGGUAGAAAUAUUAAUAUGCAAAUUUGCAGAAAUAUCAAUAGAAAUUAUCAAAUAUCAAUAUCAAUAUCAAUUGCGAGAAUAUCAUAUGAAGGCACAACACACGUAUGAUCAAGAAUUAAUAAUUAGAUAUUGUGUUAAAAAUAAGUAUGUGACAUUGAGAAGGAAAACUUCUAUCUAAUGACAAAUUAUAAAAUAAAACAUUUCACUAGAACGAAUAAAUUGCACAUUACUUAAUUGAAACUUGCAUCAUGAAAGCAACACAAGUUUUAUUAAAUUAAACUAAUACCAUAUAGAAUGCAUAAGUUCAUAGAGUUAAAACUGAUAGUCAAUUUUCAUCUUUCAUUUUGAUUAAGUUUUCCUGCAUAGUACUUUCAAAUUGCACAAUCUUCAAAUAUAUGAUAGAUUGAAAACUGAAUUAAAUAGAAAAAGAAAGGAAGAAGGAAACGUAGAAAAGCAAACGAAGAAGAAAACUUGACCACUAGUUUGCAAAUUUUUUUGCCAAAAAUUAUGCAAGGAUACAUAAAAUAUAGAGGAAAUUGACUGAUUUUCGAAAGUAUCAAGGGCUAUGGGUGAAAUGUACACUUCACCCUCCUUUCCAUAUCAUUCCCUGAAUAUUUGGAUAUUUCCGUGGAGAUAUCGAGCAUAUACAUGAUAUUGCAAACACUGGUUGCAGAUCAAACAAUAUACCAAAACAAAUUAUUGUCCACCGAAAGGUUUAUGGUAUUAAAAAGCAUGUGGUUUGAAGAUCAUGAGUUGAACAUUCAAAUGGUUAAUUAAUUUUUAGGUACUAAGAAAGAUUAUUCAUCCUCGUGAGGGAAAUUAUGAAUUGAUAUUUGGUCCAGAAGUAUCAUAUCAUAGAGAAGUAUGUGCUUUACUGUAUUUAGCAAAAUACAUUGAAUUAGAUGUUACAUUUCCUAUGAAGCACAAUACCAACAUAUGGGUAUUAGAAUGAAGUAAAGUUUAUCUAUUGAUAUCUCCAAGAAAUUACAGACAUGUGCUUGUUCUAUUCCAAUGAACUCAUUAAUAGCCAUGGCCUUAUUGUGCAAACAAAAUUUGAAUAUCUCUCUUGUAUGUAUAAAGAUCGCUCACAGAAAGAAUUAAGUAAUGGAAAUUGGAGAAACACGUUCAAAGCUAAUAUGGUGCACAACCUUGGUGUGAGAAUUACUUGACACACAAAUUAAACCCUCUUUUUGACAAUUGUAGUAUAGAUGUAAGUAGGGUAUCGUUCUAGGCCGGGGAUUAGGAGGGAUUGCUAAUCUAUUCUAAAUUAAUUUAAAAAUAUUAAACAAGACUCAAGGACACAAAAUUAGGCUAAAAACUCUAAUAACUCGAAACACACUUAAAAUGACUCAAAAUAAUGAAAACAAUUAAAUUAAAUACUAGGAACUGAAAUGGACGGAAAUUAAAUUAAAAGACUAACAAUAAAGAAAACUAACUAAAUAAUAUAAUUUAAUAAUGGAUGGGUGUUUGGUUUUGAUGAAAAGUAAAUUAAACUUAAUUAAAUUACAGAAUUGAUAAAAACAUAAAAUUAAGGUAAAAUGAUAAAUGACGGACUAUCUAGAGGGUUCUUCUCCACACAUGACACAUAUGCAACCUAAAUUAAUUUUCAGUUAUUCUUUCAAUAAGUUGUGAAUUUCAAUACUCCAGAUUAACCGUGAACAGCACUUUUUUAAUCUUCAAGUUUUCCUUAAGUUAUUGAAUUGGACGGGAAAACGCAUACAACAAUUCAAAACAUUCUUCAAAAGUCCCCUACGUGAAAAGCACAAUAGAGAUACAAUCAAAGAUCAUUAAACUUUGUGAAAACUAUAAGCAUUGACGAGACAUUUGUAACUAUGAAAAGCAUGAUACUCUUGCCAAGAAUUUACUUAACACGAUUGUGGAUAGCAACCUUCACUACUUGUGAAUAUAAGUUCAUAACGAUUAGGUGAAAUUCACUUAUAUUCUAGCAUCAAAUUCAUGCAUGUAAAUUAAGUAUGCAUCCUUAAUCGACAUUCAAAAAUAAGUUAUCAAUCAAGCAGUUAAGCAAAUUAAAUCACAACUCAGAAAUCACAACUGAAGGUAAUCAAUUCAAAUUACAAAUAUAUUCAUGGCUUUGAAUUAACCUCUAGCCAAAAUAAAUUUAAUUACACAUUAUUGAAACAGAAAUAAAAUAGAAGUUUGGAAAGAUUAAACCGAAAGAGAAAAAAGAUCUUCUGUGCUUCUGCGCAGUUCUCUCCACUCUCCUGCACGUCAACUCCUUGCUGCCUUCUAUAUUAUCUCCCCAUGCUCAAGCUGCUAUUCUCCUGACCUCCCACGCUGCCCAAAGGGCAGCCCUCCACAAUCCUCACGCUGACAAUUCCCUGGACUCCCCC